UACGUAGGGUGCAAGCGUUAAUCGGAAUUACUGGGCGUAAAGCGUGCGCAGGCGGUUCUAUAAGACAGAUGUGAAAUCCCCGGGCUCAACCUGGGAACUGCAUUUGUGACUGUAGAGCUGGAGUACGGCAGAGGGGGAUGGAAUUCCGCGUGUAGCAGUGAAAUGCGUAGAUAUGCGGAGGAACACCGAUGGCGAAGGCAAUCCCCUGGGCCUGUACUGACGCUCAUGCACGAAAGCGUGGGGAG
rnacentral:rRNA from 2 species